rnacentral:pre_miRNA from 1 species
CAAAUACUCCCUCCAUCCGGAAAUACUUGUCAUCAAAACGGAUAAAAGGAAAUGUAUCUAGACGUAUUUUAGUUUUAGAUACAUCUCUUUUUAUCCAUUUUGAUGACAAGUAUUUUCGGACGGAGGGAGUAGAAA